rnacentral:rRNA from 1 species
GACGAACGCUGGCGGCGUGCUUAACACAUGCAAGUCGAACGGAAAGGCCCUGCUUUUGUGGGGUGCUCGAGUGGCGAACGGGUGAGUAACACGUGAGUAACCUGCCCUUGACUUUGGGAUAACUUCAGGAAACUGGGGCUAAUACCGGAUAGGAGCUCCUGCUGCAUGGUGGGGGUUGGAAAGUUUCGGCGGUUGGGGAUGGACUCGCGGCUUAUCAGCUUGUUGGUGGGGUAGUGGCUUACCAAGGCUUUGACGGGUAGCCGGCCUGAGAGGGUGACCGGCCACAUUGGGACUGAGAUACGGCCCAGACUCCUACGGGAGGCAGCAGUGGGGAAUAUUGCACAAGGGGCGGAGGCCUGAUGCAGCAACGCCGCGUGCGGGAUGACGGCCUUCGGGUUGUAAACCGCUUUCGCCGGUGACGAGGCGUGAGUGACGGUAAUGGGUAAAGAAGCACCGGCUAACUACGUG